rnacentral:lncRNA from 1 species
UGAGAGAAUGAUGGAUGAAGGCAGGAAGACAAGAAAGUUCGAAUGGGGCCUCCGUCUUGAGAUCAAACAACAACUGUACGUAUUUGAACUCAGUAUAUACUCAGCCGUUUUGGCCAAGACACAACUAGUGGAGAGGAACCUUCGCAUCUUUUCUCCAGCAGUGGGGAAUCCCAGACCUCUAAUUUCACAAUGCAAACUAGCACUAGUUGCAUCGGUUCAGUAGAACAAGAAGCCUUGGCCAGUGACUCAAGCUCUUCCUCAAGCUCUAGUAACUUACCAGUACUAUGGUAAAGAUCAUGAGGACCGAUCCUGCUAUCAUCUCGAUAAUACCUGUCGCAUAUGUAGGAGUACCCAACACUAUGCGAGAGAGUGCCUGUGGAAUCAGAAUCAGGCCAGACCUCCUAUCUAGAGCAAAGCUUACAACCUCACUUAAUAGGAUAAAGAAGUCAACUUGGAUGUGCUAUAGGGCAAACCUAAGAAAGAAGUUUGCAUUUAAGAAAUUUUGGUAGUCCG